UUUGGGACUUCAGAAAAGUUUGAUCUGGAAAAUUAUUGUGUAAUCCCACUGGAGUCGUCUUAACAUCCAACAGCUGCCAGUGGGGUGACGUAGUCCAAUGGGAUCUACUCCUCUGCUCCGAGGAACAAAACAGCUGCUGCAAGAUGAUUUUUCUGUAUAUCCAGAGAAAGCGGUCAGAAGAGACCUUGCCCUGAAGAAAGGCACCCCGAUGAGUUCAACAUAAGGGACUACAGCUUCUAUGGAGUGAUUGGAGAAGGAAGCUAUGGCAAGGUUUUGCUGGCUAGACUGCAGGGCCAAAAGAAGUUUGUGGCUAUGAAAGUCACAAAGAUACCACCUGGGAAAAAGAAGAUCGACAACAUCGCUAAAGAGGCUGUGUACUGAGGGCAGCCAGGGAAAGCCCAUUUUGCAUCUACACAACUGCAGCUUUUAAAACACAGGUUCCACUCUGCAGAGCUGGUAUGUGGACUACAAUGCCUGCAUACUAAAGGCAUCAUUCAUUGAGAACUAAAACCAGCCAACAUCCUUCUGGACAAAGAUGGCCACAUCAAAUUAGCAGAUUUUGGUUCAGCGGCAGAGAAUAUCUUUGGAGACAAGAUCAUCAAUGGCUUUGUUGGAACACUUGGAUAUAUGGCCCCAGAGAUCCUCCAACACCAGGUUUCAAUGCAGCGGUGGACAGGUGGUCGUUAGGCAUCGUCAUCAGCAAAAUGGCCCCUGGCAAAUCUCCAUUUUAUAAUGGCCAUAAAAAGGAGAAGUGCAGUGCAGUCAUCUGUGACCAACCCAACAUCCCUGAUUGGCUGUGUGCAGAAAUGCGCCAUCUCUUGCAAAAGCUUCUGGAGAAGAACCCUGCAAGAAGACUGGGUGUUAAUGGGAACAUCAGAGAGCACCCUGUCUUCUCAUCCAUUAACUGGGUCGAACUGGAAAAUAAAAGAAUAAGACCACCUUUCAAGCUAGAGAUCAUCAACAAAGCCUUUGAAACCUUGUUCUCUGGAGUCACUUUCAUUCUUGAAGCCCUGAACCGAAACACCAAAUCAGGACAACAAUAUUGAAUUUAACAUUCGUGGCUAUCUGCAGUUGGGAUCAUCAUGAAUAGAAGACCUAAUGCCCGAUGUGUUUGAACAUCCAUCACAGUCUACAAACCUACACCAUCUGCUCCAGUAUCCCAUGGCGUCUCCAACAUCCCUUUUGGGAAAUUAAUUAAGGUAAUAUAAUAGAUAUAUAUAGAUGUAUAUAUUUAUUAGAUAAAUGUAGAUAUAUAUAGU